rnacentral:lncRNA from 1 species
ACAUUAAGGUGGUACCCAACACUUGCACUAAAAUUAAUUUGGCUCGUUUAAUUUUCAUAAAAUUUUGUCAAAGUACUUACUUUGACCCUUUAACAAAAAUAUAAAAAUUUCAAAAAUUUUGAACCAACCGUUUUGUCAGAAAAAUUACACUGGUUAUAUAGCAGUUUGACAAACACCAAUUUUGAUCAUUGAGAAGCUUAAUAAUCCUUUUACAACAUAACGUAAUUAAAACGUUUAGCUGACUUUACAGAGUUAUCUCCCUGUAGUGU